GGCCCUAUGGGGCGCAGCAGGCGCGGAACCUCCACAAUGCACGCAAGUGCGAUGGGGUUAUCUCGAGUGCCGCCUGAAGAAGGCGGCUUUUCCACGGUGUAAUGAGCCGUGGGAAUAAGAGGGGGGCAAGACUGGUGUCAGCCGCCGCGGUAACACCAGCCCCUCGAGUUGUGGGGACGUUUAUUUGGCCUAAAGCGUCCGUAGCCGGCUCGGCAAGCCCUUCGUUAAAUCCGGCGUCCUAAGCGUCGGGCCGCGAGGGAGACUGCAGAGCUAGAGGGUGGGAGAGGUCAGCGGUAUUCCUGGGGUAGGGGCGAAAUCCUUUGAUCCCAGGAGGACCACCAGUGGCGAAGGCUGCUGACUAGAACACGCCUGACGGUCAGGGACGAAAGCUGGGGUAGCGAAUCGGAUUAGAUACCCGAGUAGUCCCAGCCGUAAACGAUGCAGGCUAGGUGUUGGGUCGGCCACGCGCCGACUCAGUGCCACAGGGAAGCCGUUAAGCCUGCCGCCUGGGGAGUACGGCCGCAAGGCUGAAACUUAAAGGAAUUGGCGGGGGAGCAC
rnacentral:rRNA from 1 species